rnacentral:misc_RNA from 1 species
UUCAUUUUCAAUUUCCACAAGAACAAAUUCUGAUACUCUUUUUCGGCCCGCAUGUGAGAUGUGACCAUACUGAAAGUACACAAAGGAAAACCGACAAUAUCUGAGUCGCCAAUUCAAAGUUAUUAGCUACCACCGCUCUCCAAAACCCUCUCUUAUGGAGUUUUUGAAUCCCGCUCACCCGCCUCUUCACGACCCUGCGCUGGAAUCCCUUUCUGGUUUGUCUUCUCCGGAUGUUUUCCGGAUUGGGUUUGAUCGGACGGUGAGUUCCCAAUUGCCUGAUAUUGUUGAAGAACGCGGUGGUGUUAGUGUUAGUGGCGGUGGUGGUUGUGGUGGUGGUGAUGG